AGAAAACCAAAGAUCCUUCAAGUGUAUAUUUUACCGGGAACUGUGCUACAUACUAGAAGUACAACUUCAAAAAUAGGCUGUUGCAGUAGUGUAAGCCUGGGGUGAUGAGAGCCUGCGCCAUGGUGGUUGCCAUUGUCAGAGAAGAGAAGGGGGUGCGUGUGAGAGACACACUUCACAAAGUUAAAAAUCAACAGACUGGGUGUUGGGAGUGAGAGUGAGCACUUGAGGUUGGCACGUAGAUUGUGAACGUGGGGCACUGGGAAGGAGACGGUACACUCAACAGUAAUAGUUAUUGGGGUGGUAGGGCUGACAAGACCCGGCACUUAAUUGGAUAUGGAAUGUGAGGGAGAGUGAAGAUUUGACGUUGGACUUCAAGAUCAAAAAUAUGAGUGACAAGAAGGGUGGUGGUGCCUUUAAAAAAAUAAGGAAAUUUGGAAUAGGGCUGGGUUUCAAGGAGAAGAUCAUGAGAUCUUUUUAGGUAGUUCUGUUUUUAGUUCUCUUGAGUUAUAGUUGCUUGUGAAACAUACAGAUGGAAAUACCCAACAGGGGGUAGAAGAUAGUAACUAGAACUCUGGGGAGAGAAAAGAGCUCGAUAUGGAAAUUUGGAGUUCUCUGCGUAAUGAUGGUAAUUGAAUUCAUGAAGACAGAGAAGACUCAGAGAGAGAGAGAGUAGAGGAACUAGGACAGAACUUUGGUAAAUCCAUGGAUAGGAAACAAGACCUGGAUCCUGCAUCAGUUCAGCAAAGAGUCCAAAGAGCUGACUGAGCUUCUCAAGGAAGAGCUCCCUCAUCUUCAAGGGAUUAUCCACCCCAGAAAGAAGAGCAUCAAGAAUAUGGCCCCCAAAUGCCUUACAGUAUUUUGGUGACCCCAUGAUGCCACUGAUGUGGGUACUCCCUCUCCCAUUGAAGGUCCCAAGCACACCUGACCUUCUUCCGUGCUGUUUUCAUCUAUCUUCCCAUAAAUCCUCUGGAGAAGAACUGCAGCCUUAAAUUAGAUGUGUAUCUUCUGAAAGGGAACUCCCCUGACAACUGAAACUCAACUUUGAUUGGGGGACAUUUAAUGAGGAGAUGGACAAAAAGUCUUCAGCUCCUGCUGAGAAAGUGGCUUGAUCAUGAGAUGUAGCAGCUUCCAGCAACCCAGGCAGGGGAAAGCCAUUUCCAGCCUGACCUUUCCGGCUAGUUUUCUCCUUUUUUGACUUCUCCGAUUUGCCAUUUGUUAGCCCUGUUCUUAUUAUAUGACUAUUCCAACUCCUUUUCUGGCCAUAUGGGCCCCUGAUGUUUUCAUGUUACUUUAUGGAUGCAAAUCAUCAUUAGUAAUAUGCUGCAGUCUACUUAUUUUUAACUUUAUCUUUCCAUUCCCACUUGUACCCCUUUCCAUGGAGCAGAAAUCUACUUCUCUGCAACUUCCCCUUAUUAUUUUUAGUUCUGGGUUCUGAGACCAAGUAGAGCAAAUGAAAUCCUUUUCUUCUAAGACAAUCCUUCAAGCAUUUGAUGACAAUGCUCAUUCCUCCCUCAAGUCUCUAUAAACCCAGGUUGGAUGAAACCAUAGGACAAGAAGGCCCACCAAGUAUUCAGGUGAAGGAAGGGACAGUCUGUUUGGAGUUUUAGCUCCCUUCUGCCAGAUCCCAUGACCUUUGGAAACACUCCUUAGAGGAAACAUCUGUUCCUUCUUCAGCUGUUGGGCCCAGCAGCAGUAUGUUAGUGGGGAGAACUAUGUCCCAAUACCUCUGAGUAGUUCCUUAGUGACUAGGAUUCCAUAGUAGAACUAAUCUCGUGGAACUACAUCUUGCCUAAACUGGUUAUUUUUGUCCUGUCUCUUGUAGACUUAAAAGACAACUUCCUCGUUGCUUCAUAACAGUAAAUGUUCUGGCGCUACUGCUUUCAGUUCUCCUUCUUGGCCUUACAGAAAUGCAUAUUUUUAUUUAUUUGUUUGUUUGUUUGUUUUUACUAUUAAAUGUGAUAUAAGAUUGACUCCCCAAGCCAAGGCCAAGAGGAUCUCCCCGAAUCCCAGAAUGCUUCAAAGGUUAUGUAGUCUAGCCAAUACCUGAAGAAGAAUCCCCUCAACCUCUUGACCAAUAAAUGGUCAUCUAAACUUUGCUUGAAGACCUCCCCAGUAUUGGGGAACCCAAUAUCUUUGAAACUCAACUCAGUCUACUUCUAAUUAGUCAGCCAGUCAGUAAACAUUUAUUAAGCACAUACUACAUUCCAGACAAUAUUUUAAGUGUUGAGGAUACAAAGAAAGGCAAAAGACAAUCCAUGUUCUCAAGGAGCUCACGAUCUAAUGGGGGAGAUAACAAACAGUCAUGUACAAUCAAGACAUAGACAAAAUAAAUAGGUAAAAAUCAACAGACAUGGCACUAGAAUUAAAGGGGAUAAGGAAAGACAUCCUAUAGAAGGUAGGAUUUUAGCUGGGACUGGAAAGAAGCUUGUGACAUAAACUAGAGGUCCUUCACAACCCUAGUUACCUUCCUGUGGCCAUUCUUCAACUUAUCAACAUACUUCCUUCUUGUAAGGAAAAGUAAAUUUUACUUCCCUUCAUUUAGUCCAAUCCCACGCUUGUUCAUGCAUGUAGGUGUGUGUGUGCACACACAUGCAUGCACACACAUACCUGUCAGUAUCUAGAGAGAUUUCAAAUCCCAGUUCUUCACAAACAUGCCCGGAAAUUCAGCCUGACACACACCGCUAGCCCAAAUUUGAGUUUCUAGAUUAUUUUAAUUACCACUGUGAUAGCUGUUUCUUUGCAAGCAAAUGUGCUGAUAUCUACAUUUACUGACCUUAGUCACUAUAUUGAUUCCGUAAAUUUAAAGGGCAGCUAAAUGGUACAGCAGUGGGAAUUCUGGGCAUAGAGUCAGGAAGACUGAGUUCAAGCUCUACUUCAGAUACUUACUAAUUGUAUGAUUCUGGGUAAGCCACUUAAUCUUAGUUUGCUUCAGUUCCCCCAUCUACAGAAUGGAAAUAGUAAUAGCAUCUAUGACUCAGGGUUGU